GGAUGGUGAAAAAAAAUAUCAGUGGAAAGGAUCUAUCCGCAGCAGUUGUAGCUUCUUUGUUAUCCUGUACAUAUACGCAAUUCAUACUCCAUUUCAGUCUAGAGAAUAGGGAAAUUUAUAUACACAUACAUAUGUAUAUAAUGUGCUUAAAAAUUUAAUGAAAGAAUACAAAAAGUAUCCUAGCCCAUAAAUAUUACAUUCAGUAUAUGAAAAAUAAAACUCAAACUGCAAUUCGGGGACCAGUCCAGGAUAUGUGUAUCCCUCGAUUUCCCUUGAUAUUAUUAUCUUAGGCCAAUAACGUUUUUAUCCUUCUGUUAAAUAAUGUGGAAAUACUUUAAACAAGUUAAAAGAGUUCAGUGUACAUGUCAGAAUUUUAUAAUGUUCGUGGCGUAGAUCUGAUCAAUGACCUACGUGACACCCUCCCAGGUCUAGGUCCAGGACGUUACGUCCACGACAGACGUGCCCAUGACUCAGGCCCCUCCUCUGCAGCGCCAUUAGGUUUCAAUAGAGAUUGAGGAAGCACUCUGGCGCUCUCUCUCUCUCUCUAUGGGCGCUUUUCCAGCGCUUUUUUUUUUUAUUGAACUGGAAAGAAAUUGUGGCAAAUUGAUUGAAACUAAACGGGCAAAAAAAUAUCAGCGCAUCAAAUUGCCUGUGACAAUGAGAGAUUGAAAGAAUAAGAAUGGACAGAGGCAGUAUGGGAAAAAUGUGGGAGGGGUGUGGGUAGUUGAUUACCUUGCGCUAACAAGCUGCAAGGCUACUUGCAGCUACGCACUUGGAGCUAGACAUGUUUUAUAUUUCAGUCUCAAGUGUCGACACCAGACGACACGACAGGAACAAUUACGAGGCAGCGACCGCGGGCAGAUUGGUAUGUGGAAGAUAGUCAAGGUAUUUCCACCUGUCCAGUGUGAAAACGUAUUAAAGGUAAGUUUUUAUUCGUCUAAUAAUAAAUUGUUUUUUUUUUAUUAAUUAUUGUAAAUACAUAGCUGUUUAAAGCAGGAAACAUGAGUAACAUGAGUACAGAUCUAUUUCAAGUGCUAAAGGUCCAGGGGAAGCCUCCCCUUUAUUUCCUUUUAUAGAGGAGCCCAUGUUUGCGAGCGAUGACAGCUAAUUUAAACACAACUCUUUCAUCCUUUUUUCUCCAGCCAUUUUCUGGUUCGAGUUCUUUGCUACCUCUUCAGUAUAAUAUAAAAGAGAAGGAAUGUGAGACGCUUUGUACGCGUCACAACUUAAAUACCCGGUACUUAGUCAGUAUAUACACACAUUCAGUAUAUACAUACAUAUAUUUAACCUUAGCUGUAACCUGACACACACGUAUUUUCAUAAAUAUGAAUGUUUUUGUUUUUUUUUUCGAGUUUUAAAUUAAACAUUUUUUCUACAUAAGUCAUAAGUGUAGAUGUACACCACUUCUCACACAAACAUGCCCUUUUAGCUCAGCACCCUCUCCCAGAUUCGCACACUGCAUGAGACAGAAGAAUGACAGUAAUAAGAAAGCAUAAGCAAAGCGGCUGGAAGGGGUGGGGGAUAUGGCCAUUCUCUACGGAACUGCCUUUUUAGUUUUCUUUUAUCUUCAAAUGUAGAUAUGAGAGAUUUUCGCCCGUUGACGGGCACUUCUAUCAGUGAGAGACAGAAGUCUGUAUGCCAAAUUUGUUUGACUCUAGCUCUAAACAAGACCGACAGAUGGACAGACAGACAUACAGUCAUAGACUCGGCUAUUGAUGCUGAUCAAGAAUAUACAUACAUACUUUGUGGGGUUGGAAAAGUUUCCUUCUUUGCGUUAUAUACAUCCACUUUCGACCACAAAUACAAUAUACCUUAUUUAUACGUCGAUUACCGGGUAGAAAAAUUAUGUCACUGGCCUUAUUGUCCUUGCGGCAGCGAGCGAGCGGCGCCCAAAAGUCCCAUGGAGAAAGUCAGAGUCUUAGACAUUCAUAAACAUUUUCAUCUCUUUUUGGUACGUGCGGUUUCUGGUUUGGGGCCCUCUAGUUUUCUGGUUUCUGGCAGUAAAUCUGUAAAUUGUUAAGCCAAAUCCUAAAUUUCGGUAAGCAAAACUGCAAGACCCAAUGACUGCCCCUUGGCAACAGCAGAGAACGAAAUAGGAGAAAGGGAUAUAAAAUAUAAAAUGGGAAUGAGAUGGCGCCAUUUGAAAUUUACGAGUGACACAAAUGGCAUUGCACAUUGGUGCAUUGCAGUUGCAUCAUGGAAAUGGAAAUGCGGCAAAUAGGCGGAAAAAACCUCUGAGUUAAUCACAAGGCAAAUUAUGAAAUUUUAAAGAAUGUUUUGGCAAUAUUUCAACUACAAAAAUCUAAAAUAAACAUAGAAUUAAAACUAAAAAAGUUAAGAAUAGGAAUUUAGUUUGAAUUUAGAUUGGGGUCAAUGUUUGAGUGCCACUUAGAGGUUGUCUAUGAACUUCUUGUUGUUCAAUUUUAAAUUGCACAUUCCUGGCUGAAAACUCUAAGCCGAAGCUCAAGCUCCUUAAAGCCACAUACGGUACAGCUCUCCAGCGUGCCCCCCCGACUGUCUAUAGAAGUAAGGUCCGAGACAAAUCGAGCAAGAAGGCAGAAAAGAAACAAAAGCAUUUGUCACAAAUUGUCUCUUGCUCAUGAUGCCAGGAUGUUGGCACAGUUUAAGCCUUCGAUUCAUGCAACAAUAUUAUAUGUUCUCAUAUGUACAUACAUAUGUAUGUGUGUGUGUUCGUGUCAGCACAAACAUGUACAACGAGUUGAACGUUUGUGAGACGCUUCGUAGGCUUCACAACUUUUAUACCCGGUACUCAGUAAGUAUCAGUAAUUACAUAGUGAUAUUUUUCGAAUUUGAUAUUUAAAAUUUUGUUUACAUCUACAUCAUUACUCGCCCUUUUUUACAUCUACAUCAUUACUCGCCCUUUUAGCACCCCACCCUCCCCAAGUGAAGAACACUGCAUUAGGAAGAGUGUGUGAAAGAAGCGAGAAAGAAUGACAACCAAACGCAAGCAUAAAUAAGCAAAGCACAAUGAAAAUUAAAUUCUUUAUUCUGGCUAUAAUAAUGAUCCAAUCUAAUAUAAUCAAUUCCCUACGGAAUUGCAUUCAUAGUUUUCUCUUGUUUUCAAAAUUGUGGUUACAGACGGACGGGCGGACGGAUGGAGUGCCAAACGUUUCCUUCAGCGCGUUACAUGCAUCUACUUUUCACCUCAAUUAAAAUAUACCUUAUUUACUCUUCGAGUACCGGGUAUAACGGAAGCAGAAAGAAUACAUCUACGGGAACAAGUCUAUGUAGCAUAUCUCUGGAGCCAUCGAAAAUUGAAGUGACACAGUGUGUUGCGGCGGCAACGUCUUGCCUUUCAGCCGCCAAACAAACAGGUCCUCAAAAACAUGGAGACAACUACGAAUACGACUAUUGUUAAGAAGAAGAAGGUUGUGCAUGACAAGAGUGGAGAGUGGAAAGGAGCAAAGUAGAGCAGUGCGACCUAUGCUAUGGAUACGACGAGUAGUAUUUAUAUUUGCCGUUAGAAACAAUAAAUCCACUCUGGGCUCAACCCCCAAAACGAAUAAUGGCAACAAAAAAAAUUUAAGAAAGAUGAAAAAAUCGAGAGCCUGAUAAAGGAUAAGUCCAAGGAGGUUCUGUUUAUCUGGGAAUUUGAAAAAUUGCUAGAGUUUAACCAUGAUUUGGUUUUAACUUUAACCCAAGCCUUCAUGAACCCUGUUCGGAAAUUGACUUUACUUUGGGGUUCACUUUUAAAUAUUCUUUUGAAUUAAAAGAGGGGUUGUUGUAAACCCCUUAAAAUCUUUGACAGAGCAUUCCAUCUUCGUUGAGGAUAAUAUUUGAGGAUUCAUCUGUUUCCUUGGCAAUUGGCAAAAACUCGCCCAAUCGACUGGCGACUUCUAAUUGCAUUUGGCUCUGAGAAAUCAAUUAUUCAAUCUGCCUACACACAUUAGAGUGCUUUGAUUAAUUUCGCAGAAUUGUGAAUAAAAAGAAUAAAAAUUCAUUUUCAGAGUGAACCAAGUCGGUCCCACAUUCAAAUCAAUCUUCAUUGCUGACUGCUUUCCUUUCUGCUUCUGAACUUAUCUCAAUUUACCUCCCAGUUAUCGUUCUUUAUUGUCAUUAUUAUACCAGGUACUCGAAGAUUAAGUACGGUAUAUUACAUUUGUGGCCGAAAGUAGAUGUAUGACUGCUGUGAUAUCACACUGAUACAAGUGUAUUUAAAAAAUUAUCCACGCCCCCUUCCGCCCCUGCAGGUAAUGACCUUGUUUAUGCAACCAGCGAAUUGGGAUUAGAAUGAAUCAUUAUUAUAGCCAGAAUAAAGAAAUUAAUUUGCGGUGGCUACCCUCACCCCAUCAAGCAGCCUUGCUUUUCAUUUUUUUUUUGUUGCUCAUUCUUUCUCGCUCGUACCUCUGCCUCAUGCAGUGUGCGUCACUGGGGGAGUUUGGCGAGCUAAAAGAGCGUGUUGGCGGAAGAAGUGAUGUAGAAGUUGAUGAAUUUUGUAGAAAACACGUCAAAUUCGAAAAAAAACACUAAAGCACAGAUAUACUAACUGUGUAUCGGAUAUAAAAGCUGUGACGCGUACGAAGCGUCUAACACGUCCCUCCUCGUUUUUUUAGUACUUUAUGGCAACAGUUUGGCCAUAACCGUCAGCAGCAUGACCGUAGGGACUAGAAGCGGUAUGUUCUGAAAUAACUGAGUUGAGUGAAUAGUGCAGAUUGAGAUGGAAAAGGGCUUAUAGCGAAAACAUCUGUAGAAAUAUAAAAACAAAAGAUUUCCUGUGUCCCCGCAGGUGAUAUUUGAGACAUCUCCGAUUUUUUGACCUCCUGCCUUUACGAAUCCCAAGAAAUCUUUCUCCUGGCAAGUACAAGUUCAGGGAUUGGCAAACAGAAAUAGCCUCAGAUCUGACAAUUCCUUUCUCUUUUCAAGGAACUCUAGAGUCUUCCUGUUGAGUGCGGCUAUUUUGUUAUUUCGAAUGUCUAAAUACGUAAGAUUUUGCGGCAGAUGAUCUAGUUCUACUAGUUGAUUGUUGGCUAAAAAGAGCCGCCCACACUCGAGUAGCCUGGCCACGAACCAUUGGGCAGUACGCGGAGCUUAUUAUUCAGAAAUAAAAGGGUCAAUGGAAGAUAUUUGGGAGUGGGUAAGUUUGGUAUCGCCGAGAGGCCUUCGCCACUGCAGUCAACGAUGAAUUCCAAAGUAUAGAAAGUAGGUAGGAUGCUGCAAGCAUCGGGACAAGGGCCACGAAAGUCUGGAUAGUCCAAUGGCGCUAUAUAUUUCAUGGACUCGUCUUUCCCCAGGAAGGACAUUAGAAAUCGUGCUUCCCAAAAACAGUUCCAGGGAUUUGAAGAAAAUUGAUUUCUUUCCGCACGACUCUGAAGAUAAUUCGUAAUUUUUGCGUCUUUUGUCCCCUUAUAAUUGAUUAUGCAGUAAGUGUACUCCAGGAGGACCUUGUCAUCGCAAUCGGCAGCCACGCGUUCGCGAAGCGAUGGAUGGUAAUGUGUUACAGAUAUUCGAUCACCUUCUUGUCGAGGGCUGUGAUGUUGUUGUGGCGAAUACUCAGACGUUGCAGCAUCUGUGGCAACUGCUGGAUUCCUGCAUGAAAUUGCUGGGCAAUGUCGUGAGAUGAUUAUUACUAAGAAGCAGCUCAUAGUAGCAUUUACACUUUCCAGGACAUCUCCUUCCGUCUGUGCAGAUUUUCACAUGGUUCAUAAUUUGAAACUUUGGAAUAGUUUUCGAAAUGUCUCAGUUUCACUUGAACAUCCUCCGUUUGCAUGAUGAAAGUCUCUAGAUUAUUCCGAGUCUUAGAACUGAAAGACACGUGAAAAUAUUAACUCAAAAAGACUGACGGAUACACUCAUACCUCAAGAAAUGUUGAUCCUUGACAAUCGUGUUGAUAAAAUGUAAUAUUUUUAAACUUUUCAAAUCUUCAAAUAAUGUGGUUGUGAGACUUUCCAUCUUUAAUCCUUGAAGAGUGAGAUACUUUAUCUGUGACUUUCCUCUAAAAAUCCUGUCUUCCAACCAGAACUCGGGAAUUUGAGACUUUCCUUCAUAGCGAAUCUGCAGAGUUUUCAGGUUGUUCAUCGUUUCAUGAAUAAAGCUGUUUGCGAUAUGUGAAUUUAUGGACUUCUUAAGGGGAGAAGUGUAGAUUAAAGCCAAAUGAGAAGGCCCUUCUGUAUCAUUGAGUUCAGCUUCAAUUAUUAUCAAAUCCGCUUAAUGUAUUUCGAAUUUGAGGACUUUCGAAACCCCAAGAUGUCUAAUAUAAUCUAUUCCAGAGCGAAAUCUAUAAUCACCAGCACUUGGAAUUCCUGUCACUACCAUCCUUUCGAGUUUUGCCCCAUUUUUAUUGGAAAUUGUGGUAAAAUUCGAUUCUGUAGAGCCUCUCCUCUCCUUCCACUUAAUUCUUAAAUGUCCCGAUUUCAGAUCCAAUUGAAAAUUAUUUGUUGUGAUUGUAAUAUUAGUUUUGAAGCAUGUUUUAUCAGUAGAAAUGCAAACCCCCCACAAUAGAUUUCACAGUAAUCAUCUCGAAUAUUCAACAAAAAUGAUUCUGAUUUGGGGAUUGUACAAAGAUAUAUCCCUGCGGUUGAAAAGAGAGCAAGGAUCACUUAUAUCUUGAGCGACAUAUUUAAACGAAACUGCAACGUAUGCAAGUUGAAUUUAUACUAAUGUUUUGCACAAUCGCUUGUAACUUAUUUUUCUCCCACUGCCCAAAAAAUAUUUGGGGAUUUAAGAACUUGAUAAAGUAUGCGACUCCUAUGAGGUUCAUUCAAGCUUUGUUAUCCGAUAACACUACCCGACAAAAAAAAACGUUUUACUUACGCUUCGAACCAAACCAAUUGUUAUACCCGGUACUCGACGGUUGUAUGUAACGCACAGAAGGAAGUGUUUCCGACCCCAUAAAAUAUAAAUAUUCUUGAUCAGCAUCAAUAGCCGAGUCGAUAGAUCCAUGUCGGUCUGUCCAUCUGUCCGUCCUGAUGAGCGCCUAGUUCUCAGAGACUAUAAGAGCUAGAGCCACGAAAUUUUGCAUCCAGACGACUGUAUGCUUACAUUGUUACAAAAAUAUAUUUCUAUUUCAUAAAAGGAGCCCCGCCCCCGCAAAAGGGCGAAAAUCUCCCAAAGCUACUAUUUUGAAGAUAAAAGAAAACUAAAAACCCAAUUCCGUAGGGAAUGACCAUAUCUAUUAGAUAACCGAAUUAAGUAAGGCGACCUAAAAGAGAGUGAUGGCGUGAGAAGUAAUGUAUAUGUAGAUGACAUAUGACUCAUCCAUCCUCGCUAUCAUUUUUGAAUAAGUCGGCAAACAAUGAUCAGGCAAUCGCCGAUCUUUUUGCAAAAUUUUUUCAAACCACCUAUUCCCAGGAAAGCUACCCAGGUCAAAUGUAUCCAUAUAGUUUACCAAGGUCGAAUGGCAUUUUCUGCCCUUUGUUUAAUGAAGGCUCCUUACUUUAUGAACUUCAAUUAGUUAAGCCGGUAUUCUCACCGGGCCCUGACGGAGUUCCCGGCUGUGUACUCAGGUACUGUGCCGAGUCUCUCUGCGGACCUUUGCUUAAACUAUUCACUCUAUCUAUCCAUUCUUCUAGCUUUCCCCCCAUCUGGAAGGAAUCCUUUAUAAUUCCUCUCCAUAAGAAAGGUAGCAAGUCUGACGCUAAAAACUAUAGAGGUAUAUCUAAGUUAUCCGAUAUUCCUAAAAUGUUCGAGAAACUUUUAACUCCGCACUUGCAGCAUCUUUGCAAAUCACUUAUAUCUCCAGCUCAGCACGGAUUUAUACGGCGACGAUCAACAACCACUAAUCUUUUAGAGUUCACCUCCUUUGUAAUUAAAGGCUUCCAAAGUAACUUGCAGACGGAUGUUAUUUACACUGACUUCAGUAAGGCAUUCGAUUCCGUAAACCAUUCUCUUCUUGCACAAAAGCUCAACCUUCUAGGGUUUCCGCCCAAUCUGUUGAGAUGGAUUUCUAGCUACCUGUGUUCUAGGUCUCAAAGGGUCCUUUUCAAAAACUCCGUAUCUUUACCUGUUAUGGUUACUUCUGGAGUACCAAAGGGUAGCCAUUUAGGCCCCAUACUUUUCACACUCUUUAUUAAUGACCUGCCUUCUGUAUUAACAAAUUCUCGAGUACUUAUGUAUGCGGAUGAUGUUAAACUCUGUGUCCAGUAUAAGGACAUUUCAUUUCACUCUCGCUUGCAAUCUGAUCUCAAUAGCUUUCAGUCAUGGUGCUGUGCAAAUAUGUUACAACUUAAUGCCUCGAAGUGCAAUGUAAUGACUUUUUAUCGCUCCAGCCUUUUCCUGGCUCCUUACACCCUCUGCGGUAGUUCUCUUGAGAGAAUUACAUUGGUUGAUGAUCUAGGUUUUAAACUAGACCCCAAGUUAAAGUUUUCUGAACACAUUUCUACCAUGGUAAAUAAAGCCAUGGGUGUGCUUGGGUUUUUUAAAGAGGUGGUCGAAGGAAUUUGAUGACCCCUAUAUAAUGAAGACUCUCUAUAUCUCGCUUGUUCGUCCGAUUUUAGAACACGGAUCAUGUGUAUGGUGCCCUUAGUACACUAUACAUCAGGACCGUAUUGAAUCAGUAUAGAAAAACAAAAAAUUUUAAAACAAAAGUUCUGCUUUAGAAAAAUAAAAUAAAUUAUCAUAAACCAUUUCUAAACCCCAUAUCUCUCAGAGAAAGUUAGUUAUGUUCGAAGGAAAAAAUAGUGUCGGGUGCUGUGAUUUGUGUAUAAUUCACACACAUACAUAAAUGUUAAUAUUAAUGUUGUAUUAUUAUUUUGUUAUUUUAAUCUAAGAAUACAAUGAGAAUAGGACAAGGACCAUGUCUUAGCUCAACAUUUUCCCGAUUUCCCCGACUGACGCUUAAAUUAUGCAAGUUAAUUUGCAGUUGCUGCAGCUGAAAAUGAUGACAAGACACAUACUGCCUGCUGAGCUCAGGACUUUGGCUCGGGCAGGCAAGUGGCAGAGGCAGAGGCAGAGGCAGCGGCAGCCUUACAAGAGUUAUAUCCCGCAGACCGGAGUUGACAUAAAUUGCGUUUACAGCUAGUCCUGCCUGCCCCCAUCAGGUAUACCCACGGUGUCCACGGUGGCUAUUUAACACAUUACUACAGACUUUCAGUGCAGGAGGGAGAGAGGAGUUGAAUCUACAACGGAAGGAAACUGAAGUCUUGGUGUCGGUCUGGAGGUGGAACUGGAAUUGAGUGUCAGAUUGUCAGAUUGUGUGUUGGCCCCUGGUUUCGACUACACAGUCGUGCUUGCUCUUUCGCAAAAUUCUGAAAGGGCAAAGGUUGCAAGGGACAGGCUGGUUGGUUGACGUCAAAGUCGAUACGGAUCAUGAUUUUCUCAAUAGGCAUUUACAGUGACUGUAAAGUGGGAAAAAGCUUUCAGGAUGUUAAGAAAAGAAAGUAGAAUACCAUUUAGAAUAUAAUCAUCAAAUAAAACGAGAAGGGACGAAUGUUCGAUGAUCUGAUAGAUACAGUCAUUCCCUAAGGAAUCAGUUCAGUUUUUAUUUAUCUUCAAAAUUGUAGAUUUGGGAGGUUUUCGCCCUUUUGCGGGGGCGGAAAGCGGCAGUGCGAAAUUGAAAUACACCUGUAACAGUGAGAACGUACAGAAGUCUGGAUGCAAAAUGUUGUGGCUCUAGAUUUUAGAGUCUCUGACGCCCAGAUCGACGGAUAGACAGACAUGGCUUGAUCGAAUCUGCUAUUGAUGAUGAUCAAGAAGGUAUAUACUUUAUGGGGUCGGAUACGUGUCCUUCCCUGCGUUACAUACAUCAAAUUUUCCCUCGAGUAAUGGGUAUAAAUCAAAAUGGCACCCAGUACUACAUCUGUACCGUAGCCGUUAUUUCUCAAAUUUUACAUUUUUUCUUCAUCUGCCAUCUACAUCUACAACACUUCUCACGACAACACGCCCCCUUCCCUAGACCCACACACUGCAAACUCACGGCAGAGGCAGAGGCAGCGCCCGCACACAAACAAAAACUUAUAUAAGCUGCGGGACGGGGUGGGUUAAAAGUCGGCAGAGGCAGAGGGACUGCAGAGGCAGGGGCCGAGUGAAGCAGAGUGUGAAUGAGAGAAUGUGAAAAGAACAAAUAUAAGCUGCGGGAAAUUUAGCCACUGGAAAUAAAUUUGUUCAUUGUUUCUAUAAUAAUGAUCCAAUCGGAUUCCAAUUUGGUGAUUUGAUAAAUUAAAAAUUGUAGAUUUGGGACCUUUGCGGGUGCGGAAGGGGUAGGGAUAAUUUUUGAAAUACACUUGUAACAGUGUGAGCAUACAGAAGUCUGGAUGAAAAUUUUGGUGACUCUAGCUCUUGUAUUCUCUGAGUACUAGGCGCUCAACAAGACGGACGGACAGACAAACAUUUAUAAUGGGGUUAUAACUAUUUAAAAUUUUUACUUAAUUACAAAUAUAAGAUAAGACAAGAAACAUAAGUACAUUAGAGGACGAAUAAGAGUAAUAUAAGC
rnacentral:lncRNA from 1 species